GCCCCAGGAUUUGAGUGACACAACAACAAUAUUCCCUCCAAGCGUGUGGGGCAGCCAGGUGAGAGAGGCUUUGCUGGCACCGCCAGGGAUGCGCUGAUGCUGGCUCCUGGCCCCGGCCGGAGGCUUCGAAGCACACGAUGCUUUCCAAAGUGGGAUUGCACCUGGAGAUUUGCACCUUCUCCAGCCUGGAAGGAGCAGCCAGAAUGGCAGUGCCUUGCUGAGGCUGUGCUACAACAAGUGCCCAGAUCCCAAAAAAUGGAAUAACCCCUUCAAGGCUCCCCUCUGGAUGGGAAAACACUGCUUGGUUCAGCUUUGCAUCAGCACAACUCUUCCCCCAGCACAUCCUUUGGGACAGGCAUGGAGCAGCUCUUUGGGAAGCUCUGUGAACCCCUUGGUUUGUCAUGGCUGCUCCUGGGCAGUGAUGGCACAGGCAGCUUCCCUAAAAGAAAGGUCAGCCACGAGGUCACUCCCUGUGGACCAGAGCUCAGUGCUGCCCAUCUUACCCUUCAUGGAGAACACUGGACAAGAGGAGUUGAGGCCACCACCCUGUCUGCUGUGAGCUUCCCAGCUUGUCCACCUGGGAAUUGUAAAAUUCCACGUACAGACCAUGACUUGUGAGAUGACUGUGAGGAGUGAAGAUCAGCCCAUGAACAUGGACAGAAAAUUCUCCAACCAAGGUCACAGCAUGAAUUGACCUGGGCUGCCUUUCAGCAUGCUUGAGACCGGGGAGUGUGACAACCCAGUCUGCCCAGUGAUGGAAAGUUAGAAACUGGAAAUGUACCUGGAUGCCACCCUGAGUCAGCCCAAACCGAAGCAUCUCUACAAAACACCUAGAUGUGAACAAACUGCCGUCCUCUGACAAAAAUAUUCCGUCUGAGAAUUUCUGACCAGC